rnacentral:lncRNA from 1 species
UUGUGGAGGUAUCAUUAGGUACAGCAGCCUACCAACGUAUGCACGACGCUACUAAACGGCUGCUUGUUUGUUUAAGUGGUGGUAUCCGUGAUUAUUCUGGAGAAUAGUGGUUUCAACUGGGCAGGUGGCUUUAGACGUAUCAAAGGCGGUUUUUACGCUCAAUUUCUGCGUCAACCACAUCGCACAGAGCCGACGUGUUCUCUGAAGUACAAGUGAGGAGCCCACGUCGCCGCCGAAGUUGCCAACCUCUGCUGGACCGUCACACACCAUGAACAAAUUCGGGGGCCACACACUGUCUGGAACUUUCUUCUUCCUCUUUCGGAACGUGGUGGACCUUCGCUGUGUGGCUCAGCUACAUUCGCUGCAGGAAGAACAAGCAGCGCUACCUAUGCCGCUGUUCGUACGCAGUGCCUGGUAUGAACAGAAAACUCAGCAUCGAAGGCCUCGUCAAGAUCAUCGGUGCUUCAGCGUGCAUUGUCGGAGAUUUUGGCCGUAUCUUCAGGCCCGACCAGUCCGUGGACGAAGAGAGCGUCCAGCACCAUUCCAUGUACGCGUUCUUCCUACUCAACGGCGUGGUGGACGUCAUUUACAACGCCGGGUUCCCGUUUCCAGCAAACACUGACUACGUGGUGCUGGUGCUCGCCAUCACAUCCGAAGGCCUCAUGCUCCACUUGCACCUGCAUGGCAAGACACUACUCAACACUCAGACCCACAGGCUCUUGGUGUACAUUGUGGUUGCAAUGAUUGCCUGUCUCAUAGCCGAGAUGUGUCGAUCCCCGAAGCAUUCUGGCGUCCCUGGGUCGUGCUUACUUUUGCCUUCUGCAUGGGACGUGGCUAUGGCAGCUCGCCUUCAUUCUCUUCAGCCCGCUGCCCAGUUACAAGCCCUGGGACGUUAACAGCCACAUGGAGGCGAUGCUAGUUGCCAGCCUAUUCGCGUGGCACAUGAUGGCUCUGCUGGUCUACGUUGGCGUGUUAGGUGUUGCGGCUUGGAUGGUGAGCCGAAUGUGCGGCAGAUCCUGCGCAGCCGUCUCCGUGGAUGCAGACGAAGUCGGUGACCGCCGUGAACCACUCUUAAAGCGUGGCAUAUGAAGUGAUGGAAAAGGUGAUCCCCAGAGUACUUGUUGGUGACGCGGUUACUGGUGAUGAGCUUUAUUAUUGCUGUAUAGAGAAACAAACUUUAAUAAACUGUCCUUGGUGAGGUGAAGGUAGUCUGGGGACUGACAUACGAGCAGCCCUGUAAUUCCCCUUCCUCAGGCGGUGGCCAGAUGCCGACCCUAAAUGCCGUUCUUGGACAGCAGAACGACCAACAGCUGGUCCUCAGAGUACGCGCUGGACGGCAUGACCUCCCACUUCUCAACUGUGGUUAUUGCAAAUUUAGGGCCCGUGUUUUAUUGUGUAAGUAGCUAGCAGCGUAACUGGUUCACAUGUGUUGUCGAGCUCGGUGCAUGGCGCAGCACACGCUUUACAUCAUAUAGUGCUUGGAUUACGGGUAAAAUAUGGCUGUAUAGUAAAGGACGUUGGGGAGUGCGUUUCUGCACUAAAUGACAGGCCAUAUACGUUGUUGCUUGCUGGAGGAUCUGCCUAGUAAGUAAUUACCAGGCAAAGUCAAUGCCAUCGCAUCAGCCCUAUUCUGGAAACACAGCGUGAGAGAGUAAUUGAGAUGUGCCAUCCUUGGUGGCAUUCUUAGAUGUUUAUUCUUAGUAGAGGGAUUUCAAACUCAGCUUAGCCCGCGGGCGGUAUAGUUAGGCUAUUGGUCCCCGCAAAGGCAGGUAUACAGUAGAAGGUAGCCAAGGCCGGUUUAGAUGCACGCAUUGCCAUAAAACGUGACCAUUUCGAAGCAAACGAUACCCAUAUCUCAUAUAAGAGUGAUUUCUGAAGACGUAGUGCAAGGACUUCAACACUUUGAUACCAAUCGCCAAAUUAACUAAAAUCUGAGCACCCAUCUUGAAAUAUAGUUUGUUUCGCGGUUAGGUUUUAUCGUAUGGCAGUCAUAUAGGGUGCUAACGAAAAGAAAGCUUUUGACCAGUCAUGUCUGUUUAGCUCAUUGAUAUGAUUAUUAAAAAAAAGGCGACCCUAAAGCUUCGUAUUGGGUUGAACGUGAUAGUAAUAUCCUGUUCCUAGUCCGUAUUUCGAAGGCUUAGUGCAUAAAACCUUUUCGAACUUGCUUUGCACUCACUACGUGGCCCUCAUGAAACAGGCGCAGUAGCGUGUGUCCCUUAUUUAUUGGGUUACCGGCUUUAAACCCCGAACUCAAUAUGAAUAUCACACGUUCUAACGCCAGAUUUCAAUAGGUGCUUGUACCACGCAUUACACUGCAAUAUUUUUGUUGCAUUCUGAAGCAUGUAUUUAGGAUGCGUAUGUUUGCAAAGCAUUAAAGCUACUUUCACUGCAUUUCUACGCAGAGGAAGUUAUUUUCACUGUA